rnacentral:rRNA from 1 species
UACGUAGGGUGCAAGCGUUAAUCGGAAUUACUGGCGUAAAGCGUGCGCAGGCGGUGAUGUAAGACAGAUGUGAAAUCCCCGGGCUCAACCUGGGAACUGCAUUUGUGACUGCAUCGCUGGAGUGCGGCAGAGGGGGAUGGAAUUCCGCGUGUAGCAGUGAAAUGCGUAGAUAUGCGGAGGAACACCGAUGGCGAAGGCAAUCCCCUGGGCCUGCACUGACGCUCAUGCACGAAAGCGUGGGGAGCGAA